rnacentral:rRNA from 1 species
GACGAACGCUGGCGGCGUGCUUAACACAUGCAAGUCGAACGAUGACCCGGGAGCUUGCUCCUGGUGAUUAGUGGCGAACGGGUGAGUAACACGUGGGCAACCUGCCCUUAGCUCUGGGAUAAGCCCGAGAAAUCGGGUCUAAUACCGGAUAUGACACGGGAUGGCAUCUUCUUCGUGUGGAAAGAUUUUUUGGCUAAGGAUGGGCCCGCGGCCUAUCAGCUUGUUGGUGGGGUAAUGGCCUACCAAGGCGACGACGGGUAACCGGCCUGAGAGGGCGACCGGUCACACUGGGACUGAGACACGGCCCAGACUCCUACGGGAGGCAGCAGUGGGGAAUAUUGCACAAUGGGCGAAAGCCUGAUGCAGCGACGCCGCGUGAGGGAUGACGGCCUUCGGGUUGUAAACCUCUUUCAGCAGGGACGAAGCGAAAGUGACGGUACCUGCAGAAGAAGCACCGGCCAACUACGUGCCAGCCGCCGCGGUAACAC